rfam:Felis catus isolate Cinnamon breed Abyssinian chromosome E1, whole genome shotgun sequence.
GCCUGGGUGGCUGAGUCGGUUAAGCGUCUGACUUCGGCUCAGGUCAUGAUCUCAUGAUCCGUGAGUUCGAGCCCCGCGUCGGGCU